rnacentral:rRNA from 1 species
AUUGAACGCUGGCGGCAGGCCUAACACAUGCAAGACGAACGAGUGGCGGACGGGUGAGUAAUGUCUGGGAAACUGCCAGAAGGAGGGGGAUAACUACUGGAAACGGUAGCUAAUACCGCAUACCAUCGGAGGUGACCAGAUGGGAUUAGCUAGUAGGUGGGGUAACGGCUCUCCUAGGCGACGAUCCCUAGCUGGUCUGAGAGGAUGACCAGCCACACUGGACGUUAGACACGGUCCAGGCUCCUACGGGAGGCAUCAGUGGGCAAUAUUGCACAAUGGGCGCAAGCCUGAUGCAGCCAUGACGCGUGUAUGAAGAAGGCCUUCGGGUUGUAAAGUACUUUCAGCGGGGAUGCGUUACCCGCAGAAGAAGCACCGGCUAACUCCGUGCCAGCAGCCGCGGUAAUUC